rnacentral:lncRNA from 1 species
CUACAGUCCAUGGGGUCGCAAAGAGUCAGACACGACUGAGCGACUUCGCUUCCUACAGGGUGUGCUUGUGCCUAUUUCCUUAGUAGGAGGUGGGGCCAGAGGUGGAGGGGUUAGAUCCAGGGCUAGAGGUGAGCUGGGGCUUCUUCUCUGCUUAGUGGCCAGCAUCACUCCAUCAAGGGCAGGGUUGGGUCCCUAACUGCUGGAGCAGAAGCCCUGAGAUUUGGGUCUGAGCUGGUUCUCUUCUCUGCUUUCCUAGCACUGGCACCUUCGGCCCAGAGGAGACCAGUACUGAGCAAGAAGUUUUGGAUUAUGUCAUGUUUAUUAUCCAGAGUCUUGAAUUCUUCCAUGUAUCAAUCUCCGAACAGAUGAGACAAAGCCUGCUGCUGCUGCUGCUGCUAAGUUGCUUCAGUUGUGUCCGACUCUGU